AAACGUAGGGUGCAAGCGUUGUCCGGAAUUACUGGGUGUAAAGGGAGCGCAGGCGGGGAGACAAGUCAGCUGUGAAAUGUAUGGGCUUAACCCAUAAAUUGCAGUUGAAACUGUUUUCUUGAGUGGAGUAGAGGUAGGCGGAAUUCCGAGUGUAGCGGUGAAAUGCGUAGAUAUUCGGAGGAACACCAGUGGCGAAGGCGGCCUACUGGGCUCUAACUGACGCUGAGGCUCGAAAGUGUGGGGAGC
rnacentral:rRNA from 1 species